GGCCCCCUAGCUCAAUUGGCAGAGCAGCUGACUCUUAAUCAGCUUGUUCCGAGUUCAAGUCUCGGGGGGGUCACCA
rnacentral:tRNA from 1 species